CUGGAACCUCUCGGGGUUACAGCCUUGCUGAAUUAUUCACCCUUGUCUUUUGCGUACUUCUUGUUUCCUUGGUGGGUUCGCCCACCACUAGGACAAACAUAAACCUUUUGUAAUUGCAAUCAGCGUCAGUAACAAAUUAAUAAUUACAACUUUCAACAACGGAUCUCUUGGUUCUGGCAUCGAUGAAGAACGCAGCGAAAUGCGAUAAGUAGUGUGAAUUGCAGAAUUCAGUGAAUCAUCGAAUCUUUGAACGCACAUUGCGCCCUUUGGUAUUCCAAAGGGCAUGCCUGUUCGAGCGUCAUUUGUACCCUCAAGCUUUGCUUGGUGUUGGGCGUCUUGUCUCUAGCUUUGCUGGAGACUCGCCUUAAAGUAAUUGGCAGCCGGCCUACUGGUUUCGGAGCGCAGCACAAGUCGCACUCUCUAUCAGCAAAGGUCUAGCAUCCAUUAAGCCUUUUUUUUCAACUUUUGACCUCGGAUCAGGUAGGGAUACCCGCUGAACUUAAGCAUAUCAAUAAGCGGAGGAAA
rnacentral:rRNA from 1 species